rnacentral:rRNA from 1 species
GGGGGGGGCAAGCGUUGUUCGGAAUUACUGGGCGUAAAGGGCUCGUAGGCGGCCAACUAAGUCCGACGUGAAAUCCCCAGGCUUAACCUGGGAACUGCGUCGGAUACUGGAUGGCUUGAAUCCGGGAGAGGGAUGCGGAAUUCCAGGUGUAGCGGUGAAAUGCGUAGAUAUCUGGAGGAACACCGGUGGCGAAGGCGGCAUCCUGGACCGGCAUUGACGCUGAUGAGCGAAAGCCAGGGGAGCAAACGGGAUUAGAUACCCCGGUAGUCCUGGCCCUAAACGAUGAAUGUUUGGUGUGGCGGGUAUCGAUCCCUGCCGUGCCGAAGCUAACGCAUUAAACAUUCCGCCUGGGGAGUACGGUCGCAAGGCUGAA